GGUGAAACAACAACCACGUGUGUAUUAUUUACACAUACGUACAGCUAUAGAUUAGGUACCUGUGUGCAGUACCGGUAUGGUACCGAGCAUUUAUAGUUUAAUAAUAACAUAUUUUUAUUAAUGCAUGUACCUUAUAGCAUGAAAAAAUCAUUUAAUCGCAUUUGGUUCGCCUUUAAACGUGUGAAUUUUAAACCUUGAAAUUCCGACUGGGGAUCAGGAUUCAUAUAUAGUUUCGAGCACCCGGGAUCCUGGCAGUGACCAGUACGUCAUAAGUAACAGAGAGGUUCCAAGAAGCAUGGAGCUCUGGGCCAGUGAUCUUGGGUGUGUUUUGGGAGAGAGGGGAGGAUUUAAGUGGGGAGGAGUGUAACAGGAGCAGCUUUCCAGUGCUUAUACUAGCAGUAGCUAGUGGAAAUUUCCCUUUAGCUCCGUUGGUAGAGCGCUGGACGUCGGCUGCGGAGACCCAAGUUCGAAUCCUUGUGUCACCCACGUAGGGAAAUUCUUCAGCGAUUACAUAAGUACAUUGUGCAUGAAGUAGGACCAUACAAUGUGCACUCUCAUCAAAUGCGCUGUGAAGUUCACGCUGUCAACUCUAAAGUCACAUCGAUGCACCUUGUCAAAAACUCAGGCUUGUUAUCCCCUUCAUAUGGAGCCCACCAAUUCUCUAAGCUGAUGUGUCUAACUACUCAGUGCUCACAAGUGGUGGAGCUGUGCAAGCUUGUUCUUGGAGAGUUCAACAUUGACUGAUACAGGGGGUACAGUUCCAAUAACUUCAGUGUUAUCUGUCGCCGUAAACCAGUGUUCAACCAUUUUCAGCAAUACAGUUCCACAAGAGCAAGAGAAGCCGCACUCAGCACAGGCAAACCUCUCUGUGAUGCACACACCCCAAGGCACCUCGCUGUUCAAAUCUCAGUUCAGCCCUUCAGGACAGUAUGAUGUUGUGGUCCAGUGGUAGGCAAAUGCGGUAUUCUACAGCUCGGCGGUCUUUCCCAGGUGCAGCAGUCUGUAGGUGUUUUGCUCAGCUUUUGAUCUCUGGCGUUCAGCCUGCUGUUUGAUGACCUGACCACGAAGCUGCUCUGAAAUCUAUAUCUGCUAUGUAUAUAAUAAACAGUCAUAUUUCUGACAGUCUGCCAGCAAGCUGAAGAUGGUCGUGAGUUUUCCCCAAGCUUUGCCCGGUUUAAUACUGGCUAUCAUCAUUAGCUGUCUGGUUGAAUAACAAAUAUUCAUGAAUUUCAUCAUAUUUGGCCACUGUCCUAACAGCAUCAGCUGAUGGGAUGUUACAUGUGCUAAAUAUAGGAGUAUAAGGAGAUAUACCCACUUCUGGUUUCAAGGAUGUCACUUCAGAUUGACAACUCCAUUUUCUGAUAUGGUGGAACAGUUUGCACUGUCAUCGUUGUCUUCAUCUCAUUGAACUUCAAGCAAAAUGCAAGCCAUCAAUCCAGGACCUCCUACAGAAAUGCAUCCUACACCUUUCACAGACUUAAAUGUACUGUGUGCAGUAAUGCUCGAAUGACUAUACUCAGGAACGUCCAAAUAUGGAGAAGAGUAAACAUUAAUAACAUAUUUGUAAUAAUCAGCUCAUUACAUAUUAUUCUCACUGAUUG